ACUUUCUUAGUAUAAUUAGUACUGCUGGCUUCCAACCAGUAAGACCCGUAUUAUAAUGGGAGAAAGUA
rnacentral:tRNA from 1 species